rnacentral:lncRNA from 1 species
GGUGAUAUUAGCAACAUUUACUUAAAAAAAUGUAGCGAAAGCUCAAUUAUGUUAAGCAAUGACAACAUUCACGUAUUAGAAUGUUGCGAUAGACCCCUUUAGCAACAUUUAAUUAAUGAAUGUUGUUUUUUGCAUGUUGCAAAAAGUCAUUUUUGUUGUAGUCUAGGUAUGAAAAACAACGUAAUUUACCUAAAUUUUGGAAUUUGACAAGCAACAUAAGCGAGCAAUGGAACUGCACAAGUUCUUCAAUCUAGAAAAAAUCACAGCAUCAUCAUACCUGCCAGAAAAACCUUCUACUGCUAGAUCAGAUCCAAGUGCAGCAAGAUCUUGUUAGAUUCAAUGAAAAAAUGGAGUACCAUAGAAUCUGUGAUAAUAUCACAAAUUUAAGGCUUUCUUGCAAGUACUUCAUACAAGCCCAAAGUACACACACGAGUAAAAGUUGGGUAUAGCAAAUGCUUACUUUCCCACUAUCCAACAAAUAUUAAUCCGUAAGAUGUUCGUAGUAGCAGCUGAAGCUAUCAAAUCUAACUUACAAACUAUAUAUUAGUGUGUUAAUUGCAUAAUUCUACUUAUCUUCGUAACACCAUUUGAAAUAACAAAGAUUAGAAACAUACUAUUACCAGGAAGUCUUUCUGGCUGGCUAAACCUUUAGGGAAGCUGUUAAUUGUGGGGGGAAAACAAAAAAAACCACCAGAGUUAAAUAUUUGUCAAAUUUAUUCCAGGAUGUGAACUCAAACA